rnacentral:rRNA from 1 species
CGAACGGGUGAGUAAUGCGUGACCAACCUGCCCCAUGCUCCAGAAUAGCUCUUGGAAACGGGUGGUAAUGCUGGAUGCUCCAACUUGACGCAUGUCUUGUUGGGAAAGUGUUUAGUUGGCAUGGGAUGGGGUCGCGUCCUAUCAGCUUGUAGGCGGGGUAAUGGCCCACCUAGGCUUCGACGGGUAGCCGGCCUGAGAGGGCGGACGGCCACAUUGGGACUGAGAUACGGCCCAGACUCCUACGGGAGGCAGCAGGA